GGAGAGGUGGCAGAGUGGUCGAUCGCGCUACCUUGGAAAGGUAGUAUACGGGUAACCGUAUCCAGGGUUCGAAUCCCUGUCUCUCCGCCA
rnacentral:tRNA from 1 species